UUUCGACAUUUGCCCUAAAACCAUGAGUGCCGCAUAUAGCAAUGAACAGUCCGUCGAUGUUCAGAUCGUCAUUGAACAGCGCUCAGAACGUCUAUCUGUUCAUCGCUGUAGAGCACCACACAUAUGCACGCUACCUGCGUCGUCUCUGCUGAUGUCGUCAGAGAGUAUGGAAUGGGUAUAGAGAGAUGCUGUCAGAGAGAAUAGAAAGUGGGAGUAUAGAGAGUUAUGGAAGAGAGACAAACGGAGAGAUUGGAUGGACGGAAGGAAAUAGUUUGGGGAUUGAAAUUGAAAUCGCU
rnacentral:lncRNA from 1 species